AUUUCUUCUACCUUUGAAGACCCUUGUCAAUUAACGUUGACAUUUGAAUGAUAAUUUGACGCAUCCUGUGUUACGCAUUUUUUUACAGAUCUAACGUGAACGAUUGUCGGCGUAGCGCGACACAGAACCGGAGAGGAAACGAGCUCUUUUCGAUGGAAUUGAAAGAACGGCAUGCGGCUCGUCCUUGAUCUAUGGCUGAAGUUUCAGCUUAAUUACGUCAACAACGCGCGCACGUUCGCGAGCCGUUUUUCUGUCCCGCUAUCUCGAAUCGAUUGACAGUGGAUCUUUCGACAAAUUUAGAAUUAUUUUUAUCACGCUUUGCGUUUUCAUCACGGAAAGUGAAAUAUACGUUAUACAAAUCUAUAGAUUACGGAAAUAGAACACAGCAGGAAAAGUUACGAGGAAAUAAACGUUACAAGAGUUCAAAGAAUGAAAAAAAUAAAAAAAAUACUGAAUAAUUCUGCAAUUUUAACACAGUCUAACUAAAUUACAAUAUUUCGAGCAUUAAGUAAGUUCAUGAAGAUGUGAGUAUUAUACAUGAGAUCGAUUUUAAUGAAGAGACUUAAGAAUAUUGUCAAGAUGUAAUAUGAUGAAACAAAGAAAAUAAAUAUUUUUGAAAC